CAGCCAAACUGAAGCUUCUUGUACAGCAUGGAUUGAGUACUGUGCGAGCCCUGGAGAAACGCGGCCUUCAGCCUGCCUUAAUUAUACACUGGGCAAGAAGCCUGCAAAAAACCAGGCAUUAGCCUCCUACGACCAGAAAGAAUAUGUUGGAAGAAGUGUCUACUACUGGAAGAAAACUUUGUUUAGCUUGAAAACUAUCAAAAAGCGCAGAAGUAUUCCUGAACCUGCUGAUCCUCUCUUCAAGCAUUUCCAUACUGUGGACAUCCAGGUGCCCUCUGUGCUCUGUCUGAAGCCAGCUCUGCAGGUGGCACUGUGUCCUGCCUGUUGGUGAGACAACCAGGAGCACAGACAGCAAAGAGAGGCAGUCUUGAGACUCCGUCAUUUUAUCUGUUUGUUUGAAUGGAAAUGGAACAACGAAGUCCUCUGGGAGUUGUAGUUCACUCUUGUCUUCUGAGACCAGGAAACCAGAAAUGUUGACAAGCCACAGAACGGCAGUACUAACCCUUUAACUCCAGUGCACUGCGAGAUGUGAUGGUGUGGAAUACUGACCAAAAAACAUAAAAGCAGGACAAGAGAGUGUCUCUUGAACUGAGGCUGCUUCCUGUGACGGAGUGCUGUGUAGCCAUAGAGCCCCUUCACUAGUUGGGCAAAGCCCCUGACCAUGAGGCUUUCAGCUUUGCUCCUCUUGAUGUUUCCUCACUAUGAGCGUGAGACAACUCUACGCUGAGCAGUUCAUCAGCAGGAUCUGCCUGGGAUGGAAGACCCUUUCCCAGUUCUGGGCCUAUUUGAAGCUGACUUUUAUUUCUUCUCUCCGAAGUCUCAAGACAAGACUGAAUCCUGUGUUCCUGUAUUGUCCUAUACUGGUCAAGUGCUCUCAUCACCUUAUCCAACAGCACGGCCUGAAAAGUGCACAGAACUGUGCAGCAGUUCAGGACAUACAGGACUGCUGAAUGUGACAGGCAGCUCCGGAGACACCCAGACUUGUCUGUACCAGCAGCAGGAAGCAAGGAGCACCCUGCAGCACCUCAACUUUCAUCAGGUGCCUUUAUGUGGGGACCUGAGUCAAGUUCCUAGCUCCCAUGUGGACACCGACAGAAGGACACCUAUGUUCAGGAAAGUAGUUGGCUGGAAAUUGAAUCUCACUCUUCCUCUUCAAUAUUGCAGUCUUCUGUACAACGUUUUUAUGAGAACAGAAAAAAAUCUGUAGAGAUAUGAUUUAAUUGAAAUUUGUCACCUUCGCCUGAUAUUGAAGAGCACUUUCCAAUUUGAUACAUGAAGAAGGAAAGACAGUUCAAUCACUACAAUCUCCACUAGGUCUUUUUUAUCUCAGUCCAUCCAAUAUUUCAAAUCCCUUUUUACAUCCUUGGUAUUCACCCAAUAGCUGAUAUUAAAAUCCACCCCAUCUUCAUUCUCAUUUUCAUCUUUACAGAUCAAAAGUAUCUAAGAUAAUCUGUGUUCCUGAGCAGAUCCCAAGCAGCAGCCCAAAUACAAAGUGACGUGGAAUAGAAAAAAGUAUAUGCAAUAACUGUUUCUCCUGCUGUCAGAGAAUCACCGAGGUUGGAAAAGACCUGCAAGAUCAUCACCAACAGUUCUCACUAAACCACGUCCCUCAACACAAAAUCCUUGAAACAUUCCUUGAAUGCCUCCAGGGUCGGUGACUCCACCACCUCCUGGGAAGCCCAUUCCAGUGCCUGACCACUCUUUCAGAGCAGCAGUAUUUCCUAACGUCCAACGUGAAUCUCCCCUGGUGCAGCUUGAGGCCAUUUCCUCUGGUCGUCUCACUGGUUACAUGGGAGAAGAGGCCGAGUCCAGCUCACUGCAACUUCCCUUCAGGUAGUUAGAGAGAGCUGUAAGGUCUCCCCUGAGCCUCCUCUUCAGCAGAUCCAACAAUCCCAGCUCCCUCAGCCAAGCUGAUCACAGCCUACACCACUCUGUCAAAGGGAGGAGCUGAACAAUAUCAUAGCAGGUUAAAAUUACUCAAGUUCCCCGAUAGGCAGGAAGGUAAAUAUUAAAACGAAAGUCCAGCUGGAUCAAAAUAACCAAACAUAUGAUUUUCAAUAAUACAAAUUUUAAUUUCAUUAUUAGGGAGUCACAAACUUCAUGGAAAUCAGAAACCAGGAGGAUUCACCUCUUCAAUAGAUUUUACUAACGGUGUUUUAUCAUGAAGUUCUGCACUGAUAUCUCAGGUCUCCUAUAAAGCUGCAAGUAAAUCUGCCCCUCCAGCAAGUCUGCUACCUUGAACACAUCCCAUAUCACAGUGCAUUUGGGAAGAGUGACAACUGCUAACUCUUCUUGUACACCUGUCUGUGCAUUUACCCUGGAGGUCUCCCUUUAAGCAGUAAGCAAACACUGUCAUUGCUUCGGUUGCGUGAUGAGAUCAAUGUCUGAAGCAGCCUGUCUGACAGUGAAUCUCUGCUCUGAGGAAGAAGGUCAGAUAUUACACGGACUUCUUCAUCAUUCACAUCUGUCACUUUUAUCUCAAUCUGUGCGUAACUGUCUUAUUUUGUAGGCUUUUUCCCAGCUGCAAAGUUCAAGUCUUUCGCUUCUGCCUUGCCACACAUUCCACUGGAGCCACAGAUAGGUACAAGAUGGGCACCUUAUCAGAUGUUCCCCCAGACAACAGAGGAGAAGCAGCCAGCACAGCUGCUUCUUCCACGUGGCAUUUCUUAUCCCCCUUACAGUUCAAUAAAACAGGAACAACUUCAGCUGUAGGUGAAGUGCUUUCUGAAAAGGCAUGCUGCUUUGGAAAGAGUACAGCCAUACUGCCACAUCACGGAGUACAGGAUGAACCACAGAUAGCAUACACUACAAUUCACACUGAGAUGUACACACUUAGUAAAUAGGGAAUUUUUUAGAUGGCUUUCUUAAAGUGACUUCCAGCUUGAGGCAAGGCAAAAAUAAGAGAUACAUGAAAUGAAUACAUAACAAGCAUUUCAAGUUAAAAAAGAAAAAAGAGCAUGGCUCAGAUAAGGUCAUUUGCAAUAGCUUAACAGCUUUUGGAAUAAUAUUCCAUGGUGAUGAUGAAAGACAGAUGGAAUCUGUGACUGUGAUAAAUCUUCAGUACUUAGAGAUGAGCAAGGACUACAUGAAAAUCUUUCAAAAUGGAAAGACUCACUGGUA